GGCUCAGAUUGAACGCUGGCGGCAUGCCUUACACAUGCAAGUCGAACGGCAGCACGGGGCAACCUGGUGGCGAGUGGCGAACGGGUGAGUAAUGCAUCGGAACGUGCCAUUGAGUGGGGGAUAACGUAGCGAAAGUUGCGCUAAUACCGCAUAUUCUGUGAGCAGGAAAGCAGGGGACCGCAAGGCCUUGCGCUCUUUGAGCGGCCGAUGUCAGAUUAGCUAGUUGGUGAGGUAACGGCUUACCAAGGCGACGAUCUGUAGCGGGUCUGAGAGGAUGAUCCGCCACACUGGAACUGAGACACGGUCCAGACUCCUACGGGAGGCAGCAGUGGGGAAUUUGGACAAUGGGCGCAAGCCUGAUCCAGCCAUGCCGCGUGAGUGAAGAAGGCCUUCGGGUUGUAAAGCUCUUUCGGCCGGGAAGAAAUCGCAUGGGUUAAUACCCUGUGUGGAUGACGGUACCGGAAUAAGAAGCACCGGCUAACUACGUG
rnacentral:rRNA from 1 species